AUACGUAGGGGGCGAGCGUUGUCCGGAAUGAUUGGGCGUAAGGGCGCGUAGGCGGCCCGGUAAGUCUGGAGUGAAAGUCCUGUUUUUAAGAUGGGAAUUGCUUUGGAUACUGUCGGGCUUGAGUGCAGGAGAGGUAAGUGGAAUUCCCAGUGUAGCGGUGAAAUGCGUAGAGAUUGGGAGGAACACCAGUGGCGAAGGCGACUUACUGGACUGUAACUGACGCUGAGGCGCGAAAGUGUGGGGAGCAAACAGGAUUAGAUACCCUGGUAGUCCACACUGUAAACGAUGAAUGCUAGGUGUAGGGGGUAUCGACCCAUUCUGUGCCGCAGUCAACACAAUAAGCAUUCCGCCUGGGGAGUACGGCCGCAAGGUUGAAACUCAAAGGAAUUGACGGGG
rnacentral:rRNA from 1 species